rnacentral:tRNA from 1 species
ACAAAUUAAAAAUAAUUUUGAUUAAAUUAAAAUUAAGCUAAAGGUGCACCUUCCAGUACCCCUACUUUGUU